UACGGAGGGGGCUAGCGUUGUUCGGAAUUACUGGGCGUAAAGCGCACGUAGGCGGCUUUGUAAGUUAGAGGUGAAAGCCCGGGGCUCAACUCCGGAAUUGCCUUUAAGACUGCAUCGCUAGAAUUGUGGAGAGGUAAGUGGAAUUCCGAGUGUAGAGGUGAAAUUCGUAGAUAUCGGGAGGAACACCGGUGGCGAAGGCGGUUCUCUGGGCCUGACCUGACGCUGAGGAGCGAAAGCGUGGGGAGCGAACAGG
rnacentral:rRNA from 1 species